UAGCAAAGAGGUCAGUGCGUACGGUUUGAGAACCGUAGGACCCAGGUUCGAUUCCCG
rnacentral:tRNA from 16 species